rnacentral:rRNA from 1 species
CCUACGGGAGGCAGCAGUAGGGAAUAUUGCUCAAUGGGGGAAACCCUGAAGCAGCAACGCCGCGUGGAGGAUGACGGCUCUUGGAUUGUUAACCCUCUUUGUCAGAGAAGAUAAUGACGGUACCUAUCGAAUCAGUACCGGUUAACUCCGUGCCAGCAACCGCGGUAAUACGGCGGGCGCCAGCGUUACUCGGAAUGACUGGGCGUAAAGGGCGCGUAGGGGGGAUAGCAAGUUAGAUGUGAAACCCUAUGGGUUAAACAUAGAACUGCAAUUGAAACUGGUGUUCUAGAGUGUGAGAGAGGUAGGUGGAAUGCGUGGUGUAGGGGUGAAAUGCAUAGAGAUCAAGAAGAAUACUGAUUGCGAAGGCAGCCUGCUGGAACAUGACUGACGCUGAUGCGCGAAAGCGUGGGGAGCGAACAGGAUUAGAUACCCGGGUAGUC